CCUUACAAGAUAACAUAUACCACGUACAUACUUAAGGGUAUGUGAGGGUGGUAACUGAAUGUGUGAGGGU